GAGAGAAUCUUAAACAGGCUCCACACCCAGCCUGGAGUCCAACACAGGGCUCCAUGUCACAACCAUGUGAUCAUGACCUGAGCCGAAAUCAAGAGUCAGACACUUAACCAACUGAGCCAGCAGGCACCCUGGUCCCUGAUCUUUUUGUUCAGCCCCCUGCCUCUUUCAAUCACAAUGAACAUCUCUCAUUUUGUUUGCCUAGCACCAAUCCCUCCCUCCCUUUGAGCGCAUUCCUUCUUUUGGAGAACGGUCCCAAACAGGUCUAGGAGGGGUCCGUUCCCUUGGCUCCAGGAGUGGGCACAUAUGCCAGCUGGACUAAUCAGAGGCUUCCAGUGGGCUUUUUCUAAUUGGAAGGGAAGGGAUCUCUGUAUUGUUUCUGGAAGUGAAGGUGUGAGGGUGAAACGGAGCUGCUAAGGGAGGCCAUGGUUCCAGACUUAAGCAUCCGCCAUUCGCAAUAGAGAGAAUGAAGCCAGCAGACAGAGCAUAAUAGAGAUAGGGCACAAAGAGUGGGGCCUUGUGGCAUCUGGGUCCCUGGGUCUAGUCAUCCCUGGGGCCAGCUACAGCUUGACUACAGAAGCCAAUAAUUUCUUCUCUAUUCCAGGCUGAUUUGAUCUGGAUUUCUGCCAUUUGAAACCAAAAGUAUUACCCCAGAUGUGAUGGAGAUGAGCUAUACGGGAAGACAGGAACUCUCUUCUCCCCUGUUUGUCAAUUCUCUCCUUCCUAUCUCCUUCCUCUCCCCUUGACUUGCUUGUGCUCUGCUGUACAAACAGCUGGACCUCUGGUUUGUUAUUCAGAAAGUAUACAUACAACACUGGCACAUUGUGGGCCCUUAAUAAUAAUAGUGAAUGCACUUUGAGCACUUGCUAUGUGCCAAGCACUGUACUUAGAGCUUUUAUACCUGUUAUCUCUCUUAAACCUCCUAUCAGCUCUAUGAGGUGGGUGCUAUUGUUAUCCUUAGCAAAUAGAUGGGGAAACUGAGACCCAAAGCAGGUCAAUUACCUGCCCACAGUUAGACAGCUGGUAAGUUUAGUUCUGAGCCCUGAACCCAGACAGGUGCUUCCUAGAGCCCAUGUGCCUAAUCUUACGCCAGACUGCUUUCUUUCAUGGCCCUUUGCCCAUCAGUCUCCCUUCCUGCAUGGAGAUAUGCCAUGAUCAAGAAUAUGUGGCUGUUGUGUCUUGAAGCCUGAGCAGGAGUUUACGAGCAUCACCACAUCACCCUGAAUCAUCACAAUGCACUGUGAGACACACACUGGGAAAGAGAGGCUCAGAGAGAUGCAGUCUCCCAGGGUCACACAGCCAAUGGGUAUGAAGCCAGCAUCCAAAUCCAGCAGCAUCUUGACUAGGACCCCUUGUUCACCGGCCUGCACAUCCCUGAAAUGUUUUAGGCCAUACAUCCUCUAGCCGACUGGAGGCUCAUACCCUCAGCCUGGGCUUCAGAGCUGCCAGGAUCUCAAGCAGGGCUGGCUAGCUGCCUCCUGGAGGGGGAGGGGCACAUCGAUGAUGCUCAGGCUCAGAAUGGCAGUCGAGUGGCAGGCAGAGGCUGGCGUGGGAGGCUCCUUGAGUGGAUGCAGGCAUCCUGACUUCUCCAGGGAAACCUAGGCCAGGCUACUCUGAGGUCUGCUUAAUCCCUGUGUGCUCUGGAAGGGCCCCUCUUCGGCUAAGCCAGUGCACGGUCCGAUCAGCCGAUUGGCCCCGCUUGGGUCACAUGGCCACCUUGAUCCAAUCAGCUGCGGCCUGGGGGUCACGUGGUUCCGGUGGGACGCCUCAUCUUUAAAGGCUUGUGGCUCUGCCUGAUUUAGUCGCGGAGACAGAAAAUGAGGGAGGCAGGCGUCCCCUGAAAGGUAGUUGAGGACCGGCCACCAGCACCCUCGCCCAAAGCUUGGCCCCGGGCCGCACCUCCGUCUGCAAGACCCAGCGCCAAUCUGCUCCGGGCAGCAUCCUGAGCACAGCCUCUGCGCAGAGACAGGAGACGCCCCACGCCACAGCCCUCCUGGGUCAGCCGCUGAGUCCGGAACGCAAGGAACGGACGCCCCAGGCCACUCCCAGACCUUCUCAAGACAGCUCACAGUUUGGGGGGUGAGGCAGACCCCUGGACGAUGCUUGGUGAGACAAGUACCAGGGUAGAGGAAGUGCAAAGAGUCACAGAUACACGGGGGCAGCCAACCAGAUUCUCUGGAGCCAGUGGCUGUAAGAUCCCACCUGAAGGUAAGGAAGUAGCUAGAAAAAGGAUUGGGGGUGGAUCAAAGGGGACAGGGAGAAUUUGGCAAGGAGCUGACCCUGUAUGGAGAAUGCUGUAGAUGAGAUCCAUACAUAGUGAACCUUUAGGCCUAGGAGUCCUCUGAAGUCCUCCUCAAUUAGGAUUUUAAGAUUAGUUGAUUCCCACUCUCCUGAUAGCCAAGGGGAUGUAAUUAGAACAGAUGCCCCACUAUUGAAAGCAAGAGGCCUGCCUUCCUUCCUUCCUUCCUUCCUUCCUUCCUUCCUUCCUUCCCAAAGCACGGAUAAUAAAAGUUCUCAGUACUUCGCCCUCUCCACCAGAGCAGCUCCCUGGGGUGGCUGGCACUCCCACGGCCUUGCGAGAUCUUCCUGACCGAUGCCUUGUGGCACGUGAAGUGCCAGCUGCCUGCUGGCCAUCUCCCACCCCACCCUCAAUGCCCAUGCACCUCAUGCUCCCACCAGCUGAGUCUUGCACUUUCUGAGAAUCAGAUGGGUCUGUUGCCAACUCUCUUGGUGCCAGUCAUACUUGUUAUUGUAAUUAUGUGAUUUAAAUUAAACAUCACAUAAGCUGAUGAAAUAUGAGUGUGAAAGGAAAUAGAGUUGCAUCUAUGGAAACUAAAUUGAAUGCUUUGGAAUGACUCCAUGAAGGAGAAUCUCUAAAAAGAAUUACUCCCUCAAUAUUAGGUGUGAGUGACUGAGACAGUUGCACCCCACUGGGUCAGUUCCAUUGGGGCAGGGACCAAGUCCAUCUUGCUCACUGCGGCCUCCCCAGUGCCCCACACAGAGCCUGGCACAUUGUAGGUGCUCAAUAAAUACGUGUUGAGUGAACAUGCCGUAGAAGAAUUAAACAUGGUGAGCAAUGAACUGUGGUGUAGUUUAUAUAAGGCAGACAGUGUGGAGAACAAAACUGUGGUCAAAGGAAAGACCUUGGUCCUACAUUAAAUGGAUUGACGAGUAAAUGUGCAUUUAGGUAUUUGCACACUAUAAUGAAAUGCUUUAGCUGUGUAUGUGUUCUUAUGCCCUCCUCACAAAUUACUCUUUACCAACCAACUAUGUCAUCUUCAAGGCUUCAAGGUGUUAGUAAAUGUUUCUGUAAAGGGUGAGAUAAAUAAUUUGGGCGUUGCGGGUUACAGUGUCUGUCACAGCUACUCGACUCUGCCGUUGCAGCAUAAAAGCAGACAAAUGUAAAUGAAUGAUCAUGGUUGUGAUCCAAUAAAACUUUAUCUACAAAAACAGACAGCAAGCUCUAGUUUGCCAACCCCUGUUCUAAGGAAUUGAUUUGUUCUUUGUGCCAGGCACUGUGUUGUGUUGCUAGACAUAUCAAGAUAAAGGAAAUCCUGUCCCAGCUUUUACAGAGCCUGGCUUCUAGUUGAGAGAUGGUUGUGAGUUGGGGUAUCGGCAUGCUGGUAAGGGCUUGAGCGUGGUGCGAAGGGGUCACAGUGAAGGCAAAUGCUUCUCCCAUGGGGGCAGGGAAAGAGAGAUGUGGAAAAAAUGAGGCAUUUGGUUAUGUUUAUGUGAUGGGUGAUAUUUCCCCAGGUAGUCAGGUGGGGUGACAGGAAAGGACACUGCAGAUAGAGGGAGUAGCAUAUGCAAAGGCAUGGAGACAUGGAAGAAGCUGGAGCUCGAAGUGGGUGUCACUGGAGAGGGAAGGCAUGAAAAAGUCUAGAUUUUAUGAUAUUGGAGCUGGUGGGCCUCUGCUUCUGGGUUUCCAGCCAGGCAGGAACUUGGGAAGAUCUCCCCACAGAGUACAGAGAUGGACUGGGGGCAGAGGACAGAUCAGAAGGCUGACUCAGUAGUCCAGGUGAGGAUGACAAGGUUGUGAGGCCCAGAAGACUUGGCCAUGGAGGGCAGGAACAGGAGGAGUUAAGAAUGAUGCUUGGGUUGGGUGACCAGGAGGAUGGUGUGGAUUAUGGGGAGAAAGAACACUGGGGAGCUAGACUGAUUGGCAGAAUCUUGGGUUUGUUCAAACAAGCCCCCAAACAUCCAGGUAGGUAGCUGGGAUUUGAAUCUUCAUACCGUGGCUCAGCUGCUCAGAGCUGCCUGAACAAGUGAGGUGGGUAGGCAUUGCUGAGAACUGGAACCUUGAGAUGUCUUUCCAAAGACAAGUCUAAAGACUCAGAGACUCUGGCAGUCCAUAUCCAAAGGGGAACUUCAUUCAUCCUGGGCAUUUGCCCGAUUCCAGGAAAGUGUGUAACAUCCUGGGUUUGUCUAAGGAAAAGCAUUUGUUUUGACAUAGCAAGAAUUCUAGGUAUUUGGCUAAGGAAAACUGAUACUGAAAUCAUUGGUGAUGAGAAUGGGUGUGUCAGGGCUGAGUCAAUAAAGUCUCACU